CAGGGUGUGUUUUGCCCACUCUCACUCUGCACUUUUCUCUCCCCCAGAGCGCAUGGAGGCCUGCAUGCUCAAUGGCACUGUCAUUGGGCCCGGGAAGACUGUGAUGAUCGAUGUGUGCACGACCUGCCGCUGCAUGGUGCAGGUGGGGGUCAUCUCUGGAUUCAAGCUGGAGUGCAGAAAGACCACCUGCAACCCCUGCCCCCUGGGUUACAAGGAAGAAAAUAACACAGGUGAAUGUUGUGGGAGAUGUUUGCCUACGGCUUGCACCAUUCAGCUAAGAGGAGGACAGAUCAUGACACUGAAGCGUGAUGAGACGCUCCAGGAUGGCUGUGAUACUCACUUCUGCAAGGUCAAUGAGAGAGGAGAGUACUUCUGGGAGAAGAGGGUUACAGGCUGCCCACCCUUUGAUGAACACAAGUGUCUGGCUGAGGGAGUGAGUACUCAUUCUGCUUUCCUCUUUACUGUCUCAAUCUCUAAGAACAAGAUUCUUCUGAAUAGCGUGCAUCCCAGCUCCGGCAUAAUUUCUCAGUGUCUGAGGCACAUCUCUGGCCUAGUU
rnacentral:sRNA from 1 species